rnacentral:rRNA from 1 species
GGGGCGGCGUUCCUUAUAAUGCAGUCGAGCGCGGGAAGCGAGUGGAUCCCUUCGGGGUGAAGCUCGUGGAACGAGCGGCGGACGGGUGAGUAACACGUGGGCAACCUGCCUGUAAGAUCGGAAUAACUCCGGGAAACCGGGGCUAAUGCCGGGUAAUACUUUCUUUCGCAUGAAGGAAAGUUGAAAGAUGGCUUCUUGCUAUCACUUACAGAUGGGCCCGCGGCGCAUUAGCUAGUUGGUGAGGUAACGGCUCACCAAGGCGACGAUGCGUAGCCGACCUGAGAGGGUGAUCGGCCACACUGGGACUGAGACACGGCCCAGACUCCUACGGGAGGCAGCAGUAGGGAAUCUUCCGCAAUGGACGAAAGUCUGACGGAGCAACGCCGCGUGAACGAUGAAGGUCUUCGGAUCGUAAAGUUCUGUUGUUAGGGAAGAACAAGUACCGUGCGAAUAGAGCGGUACCUUGACGGUACCUAACGAGGAAGCCCCGGCUAACUACGUGCCAGCAGCCGCGGUAAUACGUAGGGGGCAAGCGUUGUCCGGAAUUAUUGGGCGUAAAGCGCGCGCAGGCGGUUCCUUAAGUCUGAUGUGAAAGCCCACGGCUCAACCGUGGAGGGUCAUUGGAAACUGGGGAACUUGAGGACAGAAGAGGAGAGUGGAAUUCCACGUGUAGCGGUGAAAUGCGUAGAUAUGUGGAGGAACACCAGUGGCGAAGGCGACUCUCUGGUCUGUUUCUGACGCUGAGGUGCGAAAGCGUGGGUAGCAAACAGGAUUAGAUACCCUGGUAGUCCACGCCGUAA